rnacentral:lncRNA from 1 species
NNNNNNNNNNAGCACCCCCAGCACCCCCAUUUCGCCCCUUGCUUCCCUCUUUUGUGUCCCCACGUCGUUAUCUUGUCCCCCCCAUCCCGGUCUCGUGUCCCCCAUCCCCGUUUUGUGUCCCUAAAUCCCCAGCUUGCCCUAUACGUCCCCAUUUUGUGUCCCUACAUCCCCAGCUUGCCCUAUACGUCCCCGUUUUGUGUCCCUACAUCCCCAGCUUGCCCUACACGUCCCUGUUCUGUGUCCCCACAACCACAGCUUGCGUCUUAAGCCCCCGUUUUGUGUCCCUUCACCCCCAUUUGGUGCCCUCACGUCCUCAUUUUGUGUCCUCGCUUCCCUGUCUUGCCCCGUACGUCCCCAUUUUGCGUCCCCACAUCCCCAUCUCCCUUCUUACGUCCCCACUUUAUGUCCCUCCGUCCCUGUUUUGCCCAAUACACCCUCGUUUUGUGUCCCCACGUCUCCAUCUUCACCAUACGUCCUUGUUUUGUGUCCCCACAUCCCUGUUUUAUGUCCCCGUGUUCCCAUUUUGAGUCCCACAUCCCCAUCUCGCCCAAUACACCCCCAUAUUCUCUCCCCAAAUCCCCGUUUUCUGUCCCCGCAUCCUUAUUUUGCUUCAUACAUCCAUAUUUCUUGUCCCUACAUCCACAUUUUAUGCCCCCGUGUCCUUGUUCUGUGUCCCCACGUCCCCAUCUCACCCCAUAUGCCCUCAUUUUGUGUCCCUAUGUCCCCAUUUUGCCUUCCUAGUCCCUAUCUUGCCCGAUAUGUCCCCGUUUUGCAUCCCAUAUCCCCACUUCACCCAGCACAUCCUCAUUUUGUGUCCACACAUCCCUGUCUUGUGUCCCCACGUCCAUGUCUCACCCCAUAUGUCCCCAUUUUGUGUCCCCCCAUCCCUCUUUUACGUCCCCACAUCCUCACUUUGUAUCCUACGUCCUCGUCUCACCCCACAUAUCCCUGUUAUACGUCCACAAGUCCCCAUUUCACCCCAUAUGCCCCCAUUUUGCAUCCCUGUGUCUCUAUUCACGUCCCCAUGGCGUCCCACAUCCCCAUCUCACCCAAUACAUCUGUGUUUUGUGGCCCUAUACACCCCAUUUCGCCCCAUACACCCCCAUUUCACGUCCCCACGUCCCCGUCUCCCCCCAAAACCCCC